AACGAACGCUGGCGGCAGGCUUAACACAUGCAAGUCGAGCGCCCCGCAAGGGGAGCGGCAGACGGGUGAGUAACGCGUGGGAAUCUACCGAGCCCUGCGGAAUAGCUCCGGGAAACUGGAAUUAAUACCGCAUACGCCCUACGGGGGAAAGAUUUAUCGGGGUUUGAUGAGCCCGCGUUGGAUUAGCUAGUUGGUGGGGUAAUGGCCUACCAAGGCGACGAUCCAUAGCUGGUCUGAGAGGAUGAUCAGCCACAUUGGGACUGAGACACGGCCCAAACUCCUACGGGAGGCAGCAGUGGGGAAUAUUGGACAAUGGGCGCAAGCCUGAUCCAGCCAUGCCGCGUGAGUGAUGAAGGCCUUAGGGUUGUAAAGCUCUUUCACCGACGAAGAUAAUGUCGGUAGUCGGAGAAGAAGCCCCGGCUAACUUCGUGCCAGCCGCCGCGGUAAUAC
rnacentral:rRNA from 1 species